GACAGAGGCCCCGAGCGUUAGGCGGAAUCACUGGGCUUAAAGCGUGUGUAGGCGGACCCCUAAGUGUCUUGUGAAAUCCCACGGCUCACCCGUGGAACCGCUGGGCAUACUGGGGGUCUUGGGCCAUUCAGGGGCAGCUGGAACAAGCGGUGGAGCGGUGAAAUGCGUAGAUAUCGCUUGGAACGCCAAAGGUGAAAACAGGCUGCUGGGAAUGUGCCGACGCUGAGACACGAAAGCCAGGGGAGCGAACGGG
rnacentral:rRNA from 1 species